rnacentral:rRNA from 1 species
CACGGGGGGACUCCUACGGGAGGCAGCAGUAGGGAAUCUUCCACAAUGGACGCAAGUCUGAUGGAGCAACGCCGCGUGAGUGAAGAAGGUUUUCGGAUCGUAAAGCUCUGUUGUUGGUGAAGAAGGAUAGAGGUAGUAACUGGCCUUUAUUUGACGGUAAUCA